UACGGAGGGUGCAAGCGUUGUCCGGAAUUAUUGGGUUUAAAGGGUGCGUCGGCGGCUUCAUAAGUCCGGGGUGAAAGCCAACAGCUCAACUGUUGAACUGCCAUGGAUACUGUGAGGCUUGAGUACAGAAGAGGUAGGCGGAAUGGAUCGUGUAGCGGUGAAAUGCAUAGAUACGAUCCAGAACACCGAUUGCGUAGGCAGCUUACUAGGCUGUAACUGACGCUGAGGCACGAAAGCGUGGGGAGCGAACAGG
rnacentral:rRNA from 1 species